rnacentral:rRNA from 1 species
UACGUAGGGUGCGAGCGUUAAUCGGAAUUACUGGGCGUAAAGCGUGCGCAGGCGGUUUUGUAAGCCAGGUGUGAAAUCCCCGGGCUCAACCUGGGAAUGGCAUUUGGGACUGCAAGGCUGGAGUGCGGCAGAGGAGACUGGAAUUCAUGGUGUAGCAGUGAAAUGCGUAGAGAUCAUGAGGAAGACCAGUGGCGAAGGCGGGUCUCUGGACAGUUCCUGACACUGAGGCACGAAGGCCAGGGGAGCAAACGGG